AUCACAUUAGUCAGCCCACUGCUUCCCAUAGAGAAGUUACAGAUGAUGUCAACAGUAGGAGCUCUUCCACACCUAGGCUUUUGGAUUCUGCCCUUCAACAGAAUAUCAGUCAUGAUGACAUCAACACAGAUGGUCACAUGACUUACACUUCGACCAGUGGAGAGGAAGAACUCAAUUCUAGCAGUGAAGAUGAAUUUGAUAGUGAGAGCUCUUCCACGGACAGCCUGUUGGAUAUGGACAUUCAAGAGAAUGAUAAUAUAGAUAACCACACUGACACAGAAGACCACUGGAGUAACACUUCCAGCAGUGAAAAUGAAGACGAUGAACUCGACACUGAGAAACCAACCACAAGCCAGUUGGAUGUGGACGUCUCAGAGGUGAAUGCACCAUUCUAUGGGUUAGUUUAUAUACGCUUCCUUUAAUCUUUUAAUUAAUUACUUCAAGUUAUCUUUUUCCCUUGUCAACUUGUAAAAUGAUGAAGCUCUGCCACAUUCUGAAGAGGACUUGAUUGGUGCUGCCAUUGAUGAAGCUGAAAACCAUGCUGAUGACGAAAACGUGAUGGAGGGGAGUACAAGAGGAAAUGAACCUGAAUUUCCAGUGGGCAUUGAAGACCACACAGAUGGUGACAAGCCCCUAUAUCCUGGUGCACCUGUUUCAAAGGGAGAAAGUUUAUUGAUGCUGAUGUCCUAUGUGCUGCAUAACAACUUAACAGGCAAAGCACUUACUCAUUUACUGAAACUGUUCAAUCUAAUGUUUCCAGGUUUGAUUCCACCCUCACAUUCAAUUCAGUCUUUUGUUGAAGAACUUUACUGUAGUAAAAGGAAAACAGAAAAUUGUGAAAUGCUAAAUGGAAAUGUCAGAGGUUUUGGUCACCCCCCGGUGCAA